ACUGGUCUCUGACAAGGCUGCGGAAUGCGCGCUGGGCACAGUGCCUGAGUCACAGACUGCGGAAAUGUUCCUCGCUGCCUUCCUUCUGAGGACAGG
ensembl:snoRNA SNORD83A small nucleolar RNA, C/D box 83A